UUUUACAAAAUUGGCUCGUUACUUUAGUUUCAAAUAAUUUCAGUGGAGUUACCGUUAUUAUUUUUCACGUCAUCAAUACCAAAUUCAAUCUAAUUGGAUGGGAAUAUAUUGGCUGUAACGUUAGC